rnacentral:rRNA from 1 species
UGGGGAAUAUUGCACAAUGGGCGCAAGCCUGAUGCAGCGACGCCGCGUGCGGGAUGGAGGCCUUCGGGUUGUAAACCGCUUUUGUUCAAGGGCAAGGCACGGCUUCGGGCCGUGUUGAGUGGAUUGUCG